rnacentral:rRNA from 1 species
UAUCAGAAGUGCGAAUGCUGACAUAAGUAACGAUAAAGCGGGUGAAAAGCCCGCUCGCCGGAAGACCAAGGGUUCCUGUCCAACGUUAAUCGGGGCAGGGUGAGUCGACCCCUAAGGCGAGGCCGAAAGGCGUAGUCGAUGGGAAACGGGUUAAUAUUCCCGUACUUGGUGUUACUGCGAAGGGGGGACGGAGAAGGCUAUGUUGGCCGGGCGACGGUUGUCCCGGUUUAAGCGUGUAGGUGUGUGUUCCAGGUAAAUCCGGUUCACUUUAACACUGAGGCGUGAUGACGAGGCACCACGGUGCUGAAGCAACAAAUGCCCUGCUUCCAGGAAAAGCCUCUAAGCAUCAGGUAACAUCAAAUCGUACCCCAAACCGACACAGGUGGUCAGGUAGAGAAUACCAAGGCGCUUGAGAGAACUCGGGUGAAGGAACUAGGCAAAAUGGUGCCGUAACUUCGGGAGAAGGCACGCUGACACGUAGGUGAAGUGAUUUACUCAUGGAGCUGAAGUCAGUCGAAGAUACCAGCUGGCUGCAACUGUUUAUUAAAAACACAGCACUGUGCAAACACGAAAGUGGACGUAUACGGUGUGACGCCUGCCCGGUGCCGGAAGGUUAAUUGAUGGGGUCAGCGCAAGCGAAGCUCCUGAUCGAAGCCCCGGUAAACGGCGGCCGUAACUAUAACGGUCCUAAGGUAGCGAAAUUCCUUGUCGGGUAAGUUCCGACCUGCACGAAUGGCGUAAUGAUGGCCAGGCUGUCUCCACCCGAGACUCAGUGAAAUUGAACUCGCUGUGAAGAUGCAGUGUACCCGCGGCAAGACGGAAAGACCCCGUGAACCUUUACUAUAGCUUGACACUGAACAUUGAGCCUUGAUGUGUAGGAUAGGUGGGAGGCUUUGAAGCGUGGACGCCAGUCUGCGUGGAGCCGACCUUGAAAUACCACCCUUUAAUGUUUGAUGUUCUAACGUGGACCCGUAAUCCGGGUUGCGGACAGUGUCUGGUGGGUAGUUUGACUGGGGCGGUCUCCUCCUAAAGAGUAACGGAGGAGCACGAAGGUUGGCUAAUCCUGGUCGGACAUCAGGAGGUUAGUGCAAUGGCAUAAGCCAGCUUGACUGCGAGCGUGACGGCGCGAGCAGGUGCGAAAGCAGGUCAUAGUGAUCCGGUGGUUCUGAAUGGAAGGGCCAUCGCUCAACGGAUAAAAGGUACUCCGGGGAUAACAGGCUGAUACCGCCCAAGAGUUCAUAUCGACGGCGGUGUUUGGCACCUCGAUGUCGGCUCAUCACAUCCUGGGGCUGAAGUAGGUCCCAAGGGUAUGGCUGUUCGCCAUUUAAAGUGGUACGCGAGCUGGGUUUAGAACGUCGUGAGACAGUUCGGUCCCUAUCUGCCGUGGGCGCUGGAAGACUGAGGGGGGCUGCUCCUAGUACGAGAGGACCGGAGUGGACGCAUCACUGGUGUUCGGGUUGUCAUGCCAAUGGCACUGCCCGGUAGCUAAAUGCGGAAAAGAUAAGUGCUGAAAGCAUCUAAGCACGAAACUUGCCCCGAGAUGAGUCUUCCCUGAGACCUUGAGUCUCCUGAAGGAACGUUAAAGACGAUGACGUUGAUAGGCCGGGUGUGUAAGCGCAGCGAUGCGUUGAGCUAACCGGUACUAAUGAACCGUGAGGCUUAACCUU